AAGCCGUCCGGUGGAUGGCUCGGCUCGGGCGCCGAGGAAGGGCGUGGCAAGCUGCGAUAAGCCCGGGGUAGCCGCAGGCGGGCGUCGAACCCGGGAUCCCCGAAUGGGGCUUCCUGCCGGGGCCGAAUAGGCCCCGGCGCCCCGUAGGGGGCGGGAACGCGGGGAAAGGAAACAUCUUAGUACCCGCAGGAAGAGAAACCAACAGGGAACCCCUGAGUAGGGGCGACCGAAAGGGGGAGAGCCCAAACCAAAUCCCUUCGGGAAGACCGAGGGGAGAUGUGGUGUUGUGGGCUCGGGUACCGCCGGCGGGCGGUAGCCGAAGUGGGCUGGAAAGCCCCGCCGUAGAGGGUGAUAGCCCCGUAGGCGAAACCGUCCGUGGCGGAGUCCCGGGAUCCCGGAGUACCUCGCCUUGGUUUUGGCGGGGGAAGCCGGCGGCCACUGGCCGCCAAGGCUAAGCACGUCCCGAGUCCGAUAGCGAACUAGUACCGUGAGGGAAAGCUGAAAAGAACCCCGGAAGGGGGGUGAAAAGAGCCUGAAACCGGACGGCUACAGUGGGGCGGGCCUCGAAGGAUGCCCCCUCCCGAAGGAAACCCCGGUGACGGGGGAGUACGAGGGAGAGGGUCCAGGGUCCGCCCUUACGUCUAGAAACACGGGCCGGGGAGUUCACGGCCGUGGCGAGUCUAAGGGGUUCAACCCCGUAGGCGUAGGGAAACCGACAGCCCGUAGCCGGCGAGCGCCGGCGAGGGGCGGGGUCCGAAAGGGCCCGUAGCCACGGCCGUGAGACCAGAAACCGGGCGAUCUAGCCCUGGGCAGGGCGAAGCGGGGCGAAAGCCCCGUGGAGGCCCGAAAGGGUUCUGACGUGCAAUUCGUUCCCAUGACCUGGGGCUAGGGGCAAAAGACCAACCAAGCCCGGUGAUAGCUGGUUCCCCCCGAAGCGGGUCCCAGCCCGGCCUCCCCGGAGGCCGCCGGCGGGGUAGAGCACUGAUCGGGGACGCAGGGCCCGAAAGGGUCCGGUCCCCGGUCAAACUCCGAACCUGUCGGCGCCGUAGAAGGGGGGAGGCGGGGCCAGUGGGGUAAGCCUCUGGCCCGAGACGGGAACAACCGGGACCGGGGUUAAGGCCCCAAAGUGCGGGCUAAGUGUCAACGUGCAAGGGCGUCCCUCGCCCAAGACAGCGGGACCGUGGGCCUAACAGCAGCCAUCGGCCAAGCAACGCGUAACAGCGGACCCGCCGAGGCGAGGGGCCCCGUAGAUGUAGAGGGACUCAAGCCCGCCGCCGAGACCCCGGGCCUCCGGCCGUUGGCCGGAGUGCGGUAGGGGGGCGCGGCCGUGGGGCAGAAGCCGGGCCGAGAGGUCCGGUGGACCCGCGGUCGACGAAGAUCCCGGCGGUAGUAGCAGCUAAGAGGGGUGAGAAGCCCCUCCGCCGGAAAGGACAAGGUUUUCCCGGCAACUUCAAUAGGCCGGGAGUAAGCCGGUCCUAAGGCGGGGCCUAGUAGGCACCCGCCGAAAGGGAAACGGGUUAAUAUUCCCGUGCCGCGGGGGUAGGUUCUGCGGCAACGCAGGCCCCGUCCCCGACGCCUCGGGAUAGGGCGGGCGGGACCGCCGUCCCGUUUAACCGCUGAAGGCCGGGGAGUGCCGUAAUGGCGAGAACCGGCUGAAGGCGGGAAUAGCCGGGGGUUUCCCCGGUCCGCCCGACUCCUGGGGCCCGUGAAAAGGGGACGGGGAACGAGCCCCCGCGCCCGUACCGAGAACCGACGCAGGUGCUCCUGGGUGAGAAGCCCAAGGCGGCUCGGGUCUACCCCAGGCUAGGGAACUCGGCAAAUUGGCCCCGUAACUUCGGGAUAAGGGGUGCCUGCGGUCUUGGGGUACACCCUCGGGACCGCAGGUCGCAGUGACAAGGGGGACCUGACUGUUUAACAAAAACAUAGGUCCCCGCUAGCCCGUAAGGGUGUGUACGGGGGCUGAAUCCUGGCCACUGGCGGUACGUGAACCCCGGGUACAACCGGGCGAAGCGCCGCUGAAGGCCGGGGGUAACUCUGACCCUCUUAAGGUAGCCAAAUGCCUUGCCGGGUAAGGGCGGUUGCGUGGAGGAAGGCUUAAAGCCAACCCCCAGUUGCGUCGACGUGGACAUCGACCAGAUUUCUGCCUAUUUACUUGGGUGGAUAGUUGGCGACGGAGGGCUCUACAAGCUCAGCUAUAGCGGAGGCCGGACGGAAUACCGCGUGGUCGUAACGCAGAAAGACUUGUCUACAGCGACGCGGUGUCUAGCGCCGUUGUUUGAGAGCCUCUGUAGCCUGCUCAAGCUGAUAGGUAGCUGGCUGAGAGAAUUCGGCAUAGAGAAGUUCAGCAUAUAUCUCGACGACAAGCGGCAUGGAGUCUACGUCUUAGAGAUCCCCAGCAGAUACCGGCAUCUGUUCUUCAACAUAUGGGGGUUGGAAACGCCCUGUGAUCUUUACUAGACCUCCACGCGUCGCCCCCCGAGAGUUCCGGCGUGCAUGAAUGGAUCAACGAGGUCCCCACUGUCCCGGCCUGGGGCCCGGCGAACCCACCUCUAGGUGCACAGUCCUGGGACCCCCGACGGGGCGAGAAGUCCCUGUGGAGCUUCACUGCAGCCUGUCGUUGCGGAGGGGCGGGGGAUGCAGAGCGUAGGCAGGAGCAAUGAAACGGGGCCUCCGGGUCCCGUGGAUGCGGUCCUGGAACACUGCCCAUUCUCCGCCCCUCCGCUAACCUGGGGGCGACCCCGGGGACAGCGGCAGGCGGGCAGUUCGGCUGGGGCGGCACACCCCUGAAAAGAUAUCGGGGGUGCCCUAAGCUCGGCUCAGGCGGGUCAGGACUCCGCCGUAGAGUGUAAGGGCAAAAGCCGGGCUGACUGCGCCCUUGAACGCAAGGGGCGCAGGCGGGAAACCGGGGCCUAGAGAACGCUCGUGCCCCCACCAGUGGGGGCCGGGCAUGACAGAAAAGUUACCCCAGGAAUAACCGGCUCGUCGCGGGUGAGAGUCCCCAUCGACCCCGCGGUUUGGUACCCAGACGUCGUCUCUUCCCAUCCUGGCGGUGCAGCAGCCGCCAAGGGUGGGGCUGCCCGCCCAUUAAAGGGGAACGUGAGAUGGGUUCAGACCGUCGCGAGACAGGUCGGUCUCUACCUGUCGGGGGCGUUGGCCGCCUGAGGGGAAGGUGCCCUCAGUACGAGAGGAACGGGGCGCCGCGGCCUCUAGUCUACCGGUUGUCCGGCAGGGCACUGCCGGGCAGCCACGCCGUAGGGGAUAACCGCUGAAAGCAUCUAAGCGGGAAGCCCUCCCCGAGACGAGGCGGCCGUUGCCCUGGGGGCAACCCCGGGGCACGAGGGCUCCCGUAGAAGACGGGUUUGAUGGGGGGGCGGUGUAA
rnacentral:rRNA from 1 species